rnacentral:lncRNA from 1 species
CCCCCCCUCCGGGCCUCCCACCCCCGCGGCGCGGCGGCUGCUUAUCUGCCCCUGCGGCCGGCGCGGGCCAUCGCUUCUCGUCCCCCGCCCCCCGCGCCGUACCCCUUUCUACUGCCAACACCUCACCUCGCCCCCGCCGCCAUCUUCCUCCUGCCUCCACAGCCCCGGCCCCGCUAGUACAUGGACAAUUCUGAUUGGCCGCCGUGGAAGUCUGACGCGGCGUCUGAGUCCGAGGAUGUGGCCUCGCCUGGCGGGCGAGAGAGGGCGCGCGCCUGCCAACCAGGUGGGCCCGAGGCCGAGGGCGCCCCCUGGCCUUGCGGAGGGCGAGGAGAGGACGCCACCGACCGGGAGCGGGACCCCAGCAAGGUGCUCGUCGUCUUGUUGGAAGGGGCGAUUUCACCGAGUCCGCGCCCUUCGGGUCCUUGGCGUACUAUGCUCUGUUUUUCCUCUCCCGGCCGCCAGAAACAGUUUCCAAGUCUUGGGUCAGCUGGCCGGGGAGCUCCACAGAUAGAGCCCACCAAGCUGGAGGUCAAGCUACUGCCUACGUCUCCCCAUCUGAAAGACAAGGUGUUCUCCCCAGUGCAAAGGCCCUGGAUCAAGACUCCACCAUGUCUGUCUACUGAGAGUGUGGCUGCUGAGGGGCUGCAUCAGAGAGACUAAAGCCUGAGACCCAGGAGACCAGGCCCAGGUUGAAGCCCCCAUCUCUUGUUGUCAAGGCUGUUCCCACACCAAGGCAGAGCACUGUCACCAAGCUACCUGCUGUCCACCCUUCAGGUGUAAGGAAGCUGCCCUUCCUGCCUAUGCUACGUACCUAGCUUCCUGAAGACAUGAUUCAGACUUUCAUCAGUAAGAUUGGAAUCAAGGCGUCCUACCUUCCCACUCUGUUGGAGCAGUUUGAGAAAUCAGAAGCCAAAAAGGAGAACCCUCUUGUGCAUCCUGCUUACAGCUUGGCUAUGGGACACUCAUACAGUGUUGACACUCCCCAGCAGGAGACUCCUAGACCAGUUACAAGCCAUAGAAUUGGCCAGUGUGGCAGGACUCACCCCUCCAGCUACCCCUCCCUACCAGUUAUGGAAGCCCUGGCUGCUGUCUCACUGCAGCCAAAGCCAAAUCUCCUAAGUCCACCGCCCGGGAGGGAACCCUGAAGCCUGAAGGAGUUACAGACACCAAAUAUCCACUGGCAGCCCGCUUCCAAGAAGGGAUCCAUGGCCCUAGUCCAGUCCACGUGAGGUCUGAGGACCAUGCCUAUUGUGUCCAGAGCAGGACCCUGCCCCAAAAAAGAUGCCGUCUUUCCAGAGGUAGGCUCCCAAUGGAACCUCAAACACCUUCAGAAUAUCACUAUCAAAUCCGUCUUGUCCCUAGGCCCAGCCAUCCCCCUUCCGCCACACACAGCUGCCUGCUAGGAGCCGCUUGAUCAUGGGACCAGCAAUGGGCAGGCAGAUCCUCCAGCCCCUAGUCUUGCCCCAUCCACUUUGCUGUCCCCUGAGGCCUCGUCCUGCUGGAAUGAAUAUGGAAUAGCUCUCCAUUUCUUUAGUUCCUCUUUGAUUUCUUUCAUCAGUGUAUUGGAGUUUUUCUCAUAUAGAUUUUGUACAUAUUUUGUUAGAUUUAUUCCUAAGUGUUUCAUUUUUGCUGGUGCUAAUGUAAAUGGCGUUGCAUUUUU